UCGAUCAUACCAGCACUAAUGCACCGGAUCCCAUCAGAACUCCGAAGUUAAGCGUGCUUGGGCGAGAGUAGUACUAGGAUGGGUGACCCCCUGGGAAGUCCUCGUGUUGCACUU
rnacentral:rRNA from 1 species